rnacentral:rRNA from 1 species
UACGGAGGGUGCAAGCGUUAUCCGGAUUCACUGGGUUUAAAGGGUGCGUAGGCGGGCAGGUAAGUCCGUGGUGAAAUCUCCAAGCUUAACUUGGAAACUGCCAUGGAUACUAUCUGUCUUGAAUAUUGUGGAGGUGAGCGGAAUAUGUCAUGUAGCGGUGAAAUGCUUAGAUAUGACAUAGAACACCAAUUGCGAAGGCAGCUCGCUACACAUAUAUUGACUCUGAGGCACGAAAGCGUGGGGAUCAAACAGG